rnacentral:lncRNA from 1 species
UGGCGCCUGCCUGUAAUUCCAGCUACUCGUGAGGCUGAGGCAGGAGAAUCACUUGAACCCGGGAGGCAGAGGUUGCAGUGAGCCGAGAUUGCGCCACUGCACUCCAGCCUGGGAGACAGAGUUAGACUCCGUCUCAAAAAAAAAAAAAAAAAAAAAAAAAAAAAAAAAAAAAAAAAAAAAAAGUCAUGCUUUGGCCAGAUCUCAGGGACCCCUUGGCUGGGGCUCCAUGCUUAGGGAUGGGCAGGCUGGACCCUAGGAAGUGUCCUUGGGUUAAAUUCUGGGCGUUAGUAAGUUAUAUCCCAGGUGUAUACUCAGGUUAGACACUUGGGGUGUCUAGCGUAGACCCAGGCAAUAAACAGGCUAGAGCCUGGGAAGGAAGUGGGGGCCCCGGGUCCAUCCCUAGCUUAGAUUCCCAGCAUCACCCCCCGCCCGGCCAUUCAACCACUGCAGCCACUGGUUACAGGGGGAACGCAAUGAAUUUUGGGGGUGCGAGGCCUGUGUCAUGAUUCUGGGCAUGGGGCUGUGGAUAGACCCACCACGUGAUGAGAAGGCUGGCCGGAUCUGUCAGCAGAGGCACGGUGCUGACCCCGCCCGGUGCCCCAGAGCCGUGCCCAGUGCCCAAAGGGGUGCUGUGCACCAUCCCGGCUACUGGAACCCACUGCCAAGGAUUUUCUUUUCCCCAUCCACCACUGCUGAGAACCAAUCGGCCAGGCCCAGCCCUGUCCGGUGCCUGCACUCUGGGACCUCUGCUCUGACUUCAUGCAAACCUAACCUAACCUUCACUGGCUCCAAAAUCUCCAUUUCUGGAUCCCAGUGGUCUGACCCCACCUCUCCUCCUAGCCAAGGUCAGGCAACUGAGGAAUGGAGCUAUUUGGUUUUCCUGCACUUUCCCGCAAAGGGGAAAAUGGUACUUCCUGCAAAGCUCUCUUUGCAGCCUGGGGGAGCAUCAAUAAAGGUUUGAGAAAUGGAUCCAGGCUCCUGGCUCUGGUGAGCUCUUAUUUAUUUAUGUAUGUAUUUAUUUAUUUAUUUAUGUAGAGAUGGAGUCUCACUCUGUCACCCAGGCUGGAGUGCAGUGGCACAAUCUCAGCUCACUGUAACCUCCGCCUCCCAGGUUCAAGGGAUUCUCGUGCCUCAGCCUCCCAAGCACCUGGGAUUACAGGCGUGUGUCACCAUGCCUGGCUAACUUUUUAUUUUUUAGUAGAGACAGGAUUUCACCAUGUUGCCCAGGCUGGUCUCGAACUCCUGGACUCAAGUGAUCUGUCUGCCUCAGCCUCCCAAGUAGCUGGGAUUAGAGGCAUGCACGACCCCACCUGGCUCAAUUUUGUAUUUUUUAUAGAGAUGGGGUUUCACCAUGUUCCCCAUGCUGGUCUCAAACUCCUGAGCUCAAUCGAUCCACCCACCUCAGCCUCCCAAAGUGCUGGGAUUACAGGUGUGAACCACCAUGCCCGGCCCUCUGGUGAGCUCUUCUAAGCUUCAUCCCAGAAGCCCUGGUGUAAACCUUGUGAGUGACCCCUGAUCUCUCUAAGUGACCUCAUAGUCCUAUGAUGCUUCCAAACCCAGUGGGUAACCUGCACUAGGCCAGGAGGGCUUGAAGGUAGGGGCAGUUGUCCACUCAGCACUGUUAAAAUUCUCAGCCCCCUGGCACAGAGUGUGGUUCAGAGGGUUCUGGGGACACAGGAAUGGGUCAAACCCAGUCCUUAUCCCCAGGACCUCCACAUUCUGGUCUAGCUGGGCACAGGAACAUGAUCCGUGCAUGGAGCGGGUAGCUGAUGGGCAUGGGGGAGCCACUUUUUGUUGGGGUCCAGCCUCAACACUACCCGUAGGUAGCCAAAGUCCAGUGGUGACAAAGAAUGAGAAAAGACAAAUUAAGAUUUUAGGCCUGGCGCGGUGGCUCAUGCCUGUAAUCCCAGCACUUUGGGAGGCCGAGGCGGGUGGAUCAC